rnacentral:lncRNA from 1 species
UGGAUAGAUGAUAGAGAAAGAAGUGCUUUGAGAUUUUUGCAGGUGUAUAGAUGAUGGAGAAUGAUGUGCUUUGAAAUAUGUACAAAUGAAUAGAUCAAGAAUAGAUUACUUUGAGAUUUGUGCAAGUAGAUGGAUAAUAAAGGAUAAAACUCUUCGACAUCAAGCAGACGGAUGAUGGAGAAUGGAACACUUUAAAUUGGUGUUGGUAUAUAAUGUUCUAUAUUCCAAAAGCAACAAUAUAUAUUAUAAACCUCUUUAAUAUAUUUUUUUUUGCUAGAUGCACCCCCUCUAAUCAAGAUAUGUUUAAAAGAGAAAGAAUAAGACAU